AUCAAGUUGACGAGUUCCAAAUAGGACGAAACACCCGUCCUAGAU
rfam:Schistosoma curassoni strain Dakar, Senegal genome assembly, scaffold: SCTD_scaffold0005211